rnacentral:rRNA from 1 species
GGAACUGAAACAUCUAAGUACCCCGAGGAAAAGAAAUCAACCGAGAUUCCCCCAGUAGCGGCGAGCGAACGGGGAGGAGCCCAGAGCCUGAAUCAGUGUGUGUGUUAGUGGAAGCGUCUGGAAAGGCGCGCGAUACAGGGUGACAGCCCCGUACACAAAAAUGCACAUAUUGUGAGCUCGAUGAGUAGGGCGGGACACGUGGUAUCCUGUCUGAAUAUGGGGGGACCAUCCUCCAAGGCUAAAUACUCCUGACUGACCGAUAGUGAACCAGUACCGUGAGGGAAAGGCGAAAAGAACCCCGGCGAGGGGAGUGAAAAAGAACCUGAAACCGUGUACGUACAAGCAGUGGGAGCCUCUUUAUGGGGUGACUGCGUACCUUUUGUAUAAUGGGUCAGCGACUUAUAUUCUGUAGCAAGGUUAACCGAAUAGGGGAGCCGAAGGGAAACCGAGUCUUAACUGGGCGUUAAGUUGCAGGGUAUAGACCCGAAACCCGGUGAUCUAGCCAUGGGCAGGUUGAAGGUUGGGUAACACUAACUGGAGGACCGAACCGACUAAUGUUGAAAAAUUAGCGGAUGACUUGUGGCUGGGGGUGAAAGGCCAAUCAAACCGGGAGAUAGCUGGUUCUCCCCGAAAGCUAUUUAGGUAGCGCCUCGUGAAUUCAUCUCCGGGGGUAGAGCACUGUUUCGGCAAGGGGGUCAUCCCGACUUACCAACCCGAUGCAAACUGCGAAUACCGGAGAAUGUUAUCACGGGAGACACACGGCGGGUGCUAACGUCCGUCGUGAAGAGGGAAACAACCCAGACCGCCAGCUAAGGUCCCAAAGUCAUGGUUAAGUGGGAAACGAUGUGGGAAGGCCCAGACAGCCAGGAUGUUGGCUUAGAAGCAGCCAUCAUUUAAAGAAAGCGUAAUAGCUCACUGGUCGAGUCGGCCUGCGCGGAAGAUGUAACGGGGCUAAACCAUGCACCGAAGCUGCGGCAGCGACACUAUGUGUUGUUGGGUAGGGGAGCGUUCUGUAAGCCUGUGAAGGUGGCCUGUGAGGGUUGCUGGAGGUAUCAGAAGUGCGAAUGCUGACAUAAGUAACGAUAAAGCGGGUGAAAAGCCCGCUCGCCGGAAGACCAAGGGUUCCUGUCCAACGUUAAUCGGGGCAGGGUGAGUCGACCCCUAAGGCGAGGCCGAAAGGCGUAGUCGAUGGGAAACAGGUUAAUAUUCCUGUACUUGGUGUUACUGCGAAGGGGGGACGGAGAAGGCUAUGUUGGCCGGGCGACGGUUGUCCCGGUUUAAGCGUGUAGGCUGGUUUUCCAGGCAAAUCCGGAAAACCAAGGCUGAGGCGUGAUGACGAGGCACUACGGUGCUGAAGCGACAAAUGCCCUGCUUCCAGGAAAAGCCUCUAAGCAUCAGGUAACAUCAAAUCGUACCCCAAACCGACACAGGUGGUCAGGUAGAGAAUACCAAGGCGCUUGAGAGAACUCGGGUGAAGGAACUAGGCAAAAUGGUGCCGUAACUUCGGGAGAAGGCACGCUGAUAUGUAGGUGAAGCGACUUGCUCGUGGAGCUGAAAUCAGUCGAAGAUACCAGCUGGCUGCAACUGUUUAUUAAAAACACAGCACUGUGCAAACACGAAAGUGGACGUAUACGGUGUGACGCCUGCCCGGUGCCGGAAGGUUAAUUGAUGGGGUUAGCGGUAACGCGAAGCUCUUGAUCGAAGCCCCGGUAAACGGCGGCCGUAACUAUAACGGUCCUAAGGUAGCGAAAUUCCUUGUCGGGUAAGUUCCGACCUGCACGAAUGGCGUAAUGAUGGCCAGGCUGUCUCCACCCGAGACUCAGUGAAAUUGAACUCGCUGUGAAGAUGCAGUGUACCCGCGGCAAGACGGAAAGACCCCGUGAACCUUUACUAUAGCUUGACACUGAACAUUGAGCCUUGAUGUGUAGGAUAGGUGGGAGGCUUUGAAGUGUGGACGCCAGUCUGCAUGGAGCCGACCUUGAAAUACCACCCUUUAAUGUUUGAUGUUCUAACGUUGGCCCGUAAUCCGGGUUGCGGACAGUGUCUGGUGGGUAGUUUGACUGGGGCGGUCUCCUCCUAAAGAGUAACGGAGGAGCACGAAGGUUGGCUAAUCCUGGUCGGACAUCAGGAGGUUAGUGCAAUGGCAUAAGCCAGCUUGACUGCGAGCGUGACGGCGCGAGCAGGUGCGAAAGCAGGUCAUAGUGAUCCGGUGGUUCUGAAUGGAAGGGCCAUCGCUCAACGGAUAAAAGGUACUCCGGGGAUAACAGGCUGAUACCGCCCAAGAGUUCAUAUCGACGGCGGUGUUUGGCACCUCGAUGUCGGCUCAUCACAUCCUGGGGCUGAAGUAGGUCCCAAGGGUAUGGCUGUUCGCCAUUUAAAGUGGUACGCGAGCUGGGUUUAGAACGUCGUGAGACAGUUCGGUCCCUAUCUGCCGUGGGCGCUGGAGAACUGAGGGGGGCUGCUCCUAGUACGAGAGGACCGGAGUGGACGCAUCACUGGUGUUCGGGUUGUCAUGCCAAUGGCACUGCCCGGUAGCUAAAUGCGGAAGAGAUAAGUGCUGAAAGCAUCUAAGCACGAAACUUGCCCCGAGAUGAGUUCUCCCUGAGACUUAGAGUCUCCUGAAGGAACGUUGAAGACGACGACGUUGAUAGGCCGGGUGUGUAAGCGCAGCGAUGCGUUGAGCUAACCGGUACUAAUGAACCGUGAGGCUUAACCUU